rnacentral:tRNA from 1 species
ACUCUUAUAGCUUAACCCCAAAGUAUAGUGCUGAAAACACUAAGAUGAACCCUAGAAAGUUCUAAGGGUA